rnacentral:rRNA from 1 species
UACGGAGGGCGCAAGCGGUGUUCGGAAUCAUUGGGCGUAAAGCGCGUGUAGGCGGUUUGGUAAGUCGGGUGUGAAAUCCCGGGGCUCAACCCCGGAACUGCAUUCGAAACUGCCUGGGUAGAGUCCCGGAGGGGAGGGCGGAAUUCCCGGUGUAGAGGUGAAAUUCGUAGAUAUCGGGAGGAACACCAGCGGCGAAGGCGGCCCUCUGGACGGUGACUGACGCUGAGACGCGAAAGCGUGGGGAGCAAACAGG